rnacentral:rRNA from 1 species
GACGAACGCUGGCGGCGUGCCUAAUACAUGCAAGUCGAACGAGAGCGACCGGUGCUUGCACUGGUCAAUCUAGUGGCGAACGGGUGAGUAACACGUGGGUAACCUGCCCAUCAGAGGGGGAUAACAUCCGGAAACGGAUGCUAAAACCGCAUAGGUCUUCGAGCCGCAUGGCUUGAAGAGGAAAAGAGGCGCAAGCUUCUGCUGAUGGAUGGACCCGCGGUGCAUUAGCUAGUUGGUGAGGUAACGGCUCACCAAGGCCGUGAUGCAUAGCCGACCUGAGAGGGUGAACGGCCACAUUGGGACUGAGACACGGCCCAAACUCCUACGGGAGGCAGCAGUAGGGAAUCUUCCGCAAUGGACGCAAGUCUGACGGAGCAACGCCGCGUGAGUGAAGAAGGUUUUCGGAUCGUAAAACUCUGUUGUUAGAGAAGAACAAGUGCUAGAGUAACUGUUAGCGCCUUGACGGUAUCUAACCAGAAAGCCACGGCUAACUACGUGCCAGCAGCCGCGGUAAUACGUAGGUGGCAAGCGUUGUCCGGAUUUAUUGGGCGUAAAGCGAGCGCAGGCGGUUCCUUAAGUCUGAUGUGAAAGCCCCCGGCUCAACCGGGGAGGGUCAUUGGAAACUGGGGAACUUGAGUGCAGAAGAGGAGAGUGGAAUUCCAUGUGUAGCGGUGAAAUGCGUAGAUAUAUGGAGGAACACCAGUGGCGAAGGCGACUCUCUGGUCUGUAACUGACGCUGAGGCUCGAAAGCGUGGGUAGCAAACAGG